rnacentral:tRNA from 1 species
GCUGAGCCUUCAGCGGUAGAGCGCUUGCCUUGCAUGUGAGAGGCCCUGGGUUCGAUUCUCAGCACCA